GCGCGCGCCUCCCCGCGCCUGCCCCGCCGCCAACUUUGCCAAAGCUGCGGGAGGUCGCUGCCCAGCGCCCCCAGACCCCCGGGGGAGCCCAGGAGACCCGGGCGCGGCCAGGGGAGGGCGGAGCGGGUCUCGCGACGCCCGCUGCUCCCCUACAGAUCUCCUGAGGAUCCAUCAGCUACUUCUGCUCCAGUAACUGAGUGGACAACAAUUUGGCCUUUCUUUCAAAUAGAGAAACCUUUUUACUCACUGUACUUCAGGCUGGAUCUGAGCUGAAAAUGGGCCUUUGGAUUGUCUUUGUAUUUUUCCACUUUGCCAAGAAUGAACAAUCAAAACAAUACCAAGAUAUCCCAGAUGAAGGGGACCUUCCUAGACCUGUCAAUGGAAUUGAUCAAUUCUUAACUUUAGAAGGAAAUUUCAGCUAAUUCUUAAGACAAAAUCAAGGCCUGUGACUGUCCCCCUGAAUACUGAAGACAUAAGCAGUCUGGCUCCCAGAGGAAGAAGAGAUGGAGAGGAACCCGGCUGAAUCUAAACAGCCUGACAAUUCGUCUAUUCAAUAUUUACCCAGUUCAGAAAGGUGGCUGUAAUCCCUGCAAGGCAGCAAACUCUUCUUUAUUUCCAUAAUAGCUUAAAAAAUAAUCUCCUACAAGACAAUUAGAAAUUCUGCCUAUGGGUGCAAAUUUCAUAGAAAACACUUUUAAGCCUUAAAAGUGGGUAAAAUAUGCCUUCCGUUGAAAUCAUUUAUUCUGUUGAUACUCUGCUACAACAUGGAUAUUUUUCAGCCUGCUUGGAUAAAGUGAGAUUUAGCAAAAGGAUAUUUAUUCCCUUCCCACCCUCAGUCUAACAUGCCAUUUUAAAAACAGCACAAAGGAACAAGGAAACUAGAUAUUAUUCUGAGUCAUCAUUAUGUAGCGAAACACAAACAUCCAAAUAGAACUAAUUGUUGUUUCACCAGAAGAUUAGAAGUUAAAUUAUUUUCACACAAUAGAAAUUUCACCUCAUGUCACCGAGGAUGUAGUAGGAGUUGCAUUAUUUGUCAAACCAAAUCGAGAUGCGUGGGCCGACUCUGCUGAAAUACAAAAGAACUGAAGCUUCUGUGGAGGCGUUUUUUCCAAGUGCCUCCUCCCCAGAAGCGGGUGAGUUGUCCACCCUUGGCUGAAGUCACACUAAUAUUUACAAAAUGGUUGUAAAUCCUCAAAGACAUUUUUGCCCAUUUUGUACAAAGGAGCAGGAGUAAACAUGGCGUUCAUAUUUGUUCUGUUCCAUUAAUGAAACUUUUAUUACUUUACAUUGUGGGGGGGGGGAGAAUGUUUGUUUUCUUUAGAAAUGAGCCGCAGACCACUGGGAUGGCAAAAGACAGGGCAGCACUUGCUAGAGAAAAUGCCUCGAGAUGUGUCUCCAAAUGACCAUUCCUGGCUCUGAGCUAUAGCUUCUCCACACCUAGAUCCUUCUUGUCUCUCAUGUGAUUGUCAGUUUUCUUUCAAAGUUAAUAUUUUAUGAUUUAAUGCAGAAAAAUGAACUUUGGCCUCCCCAGUAGAAAUACAGUUCAAAAAUAAAACGUUCAUUUGUGUCUAGAAAGGGGGGUGGGAAAAGGCAAAA